AGACAAAAAGUUUUCAUUUCUCAUUUUUUUCCUGUUCCUCUUCUCCUUUACCAUCCUUCUUCCACCAAGGAGGAUGGCCCAGCAACAUAUUUUUACAGACUUAUUACCCCUCAGGUCCCUAUUUUCUUGCCCCCUGCAGUGUCAGGGUAGGUCCCUGAGUAACCCAUGAACACCACCCAAUGUAUUGACAUUUACUCUGUGUCCUCCCAGGAACCCCUAAGGGCCUGCUGGAUGAGUCCCCCAGUGAGAGGGAAGAUGAGGAGGUUCCAUCAAAUUCCAAGGUGGCUUCAGGAGUAAGUGAAAACGCUCUCCCGGAGGGCCUCCUGGAGGAACUUCUGAGUGCCCAGGCAAUAGAGCACACUCCAUUUACUUACACCAAGGUAAGGCCAACUUUCUUUAUCUGAGAUAGAACCACUGCAUUCUUGGCUUCUUUCAUUUCUAAUCCAAUUCAGUUACGAAAAUUUGACCACGUACAAUAUAGAUGAGAGGUUCA
rnacentral:lncRNA from 1 species